GACGAACGCUGGCGGCGUGCUUAACACAUGCAAGUCGAACGGAAAGGCGCUGCUUUUGUGGGGUGCUCGAGUGGCGAACGGGUGAGUAACACGUGAGUAACCUGCACUUGACUUUGGGAUAACUUCAGGAAACUGGGGCUAAUACCGGAGAGGAGCUCCUGCUGCAUGGGGGGGGUUGGAAAGUUUCGGCGGUUGGGGAUGGACUAGCGGGUUAUGAGCUUGUUGGUGGGGUAGGGGUUUACCAAGGCUUUGACGGGUAGCCGGCCUGAGAGGGUGGCCGGCGACAAUGCGACUGAGAUACGCACCAGACUCCUACGUGAGGCAGCAGUGGGGAAUCUUGCACAAUGGGCGGACGCCUGAUGCAGCAGCGCCGCGUGCGGGAUGACGGCCUUCUGGUUGUAAACCGCUUUCUCCUGUGACGAAGCGUGCGUGACGGUAAUGGGUAAAAAAGCACCGGCUAACUACGUG
rnacentral:rRNA from 1 species